AACACAAAUAAAGUAAUCCAGUUUGAUACAGGUACAGAUUUCAAUCAAACGUCUCAAUUGGUAUCAAUCGAUAGCUUCACGCUGCGUGAAGACGGUCAGCCGGCGAGCGGGACGGACAGACAGACAGACGCGAAUACACGCAGAUGUUAUCUGACCUAAGAAACCACAAUACAACGCUGUCAGACUUGGCGGGAAUCCACCGCGCUAGUGAUGGUCAAAGGAAAUCGCUGCAAAGUUGUAUAACCUGUGAAGUUUUGAGACGUAGAAGUAGUGAGGGGUGCGAGGGGGGACCUGCUUCAAGGCUCAGUUUGUCUACGGCGCGUUGAGCAGUGGGCCGGCGCCGGCGACGAUGAUUCGGCAGAAUUGUAGGCGAGGCGCCGGCCCGGCGACCGCCCGCCUCAUUACCGCUCGCUAAUGCUGCCAACACAGGCCCCGCGCACCCCGCACCCCGCACCCCGCACCGCUGCACCACGGAAUUUCGACAGCUUCAAUCUUUCGCUUAAUAGCCUACUUAAUCCUUCUCGGGAAUCCGGUGAGGCGCCUCGUAAUUGACAUGUCGCGGCGGCCGGAGCGGCGCCCGCGUCACGCGCCCUGUCACACAUCGCACUGGGCCGCGGCACAACUGUCAUGUCACGUCAACUUGUCAUAUCUGUAAUUAUAAAAUAAAAAACACACUUAGACAAUGUCAUUCUAAUAUCAAUUAAAUUAUUUUUUGGCUCCAGCUUCAGACAGAGCAUAAUUAUAACCUUUGCAAGUUGAAUACCAGUGUUAGGAAAUAUUUUCCUAAUAAUAACAAAUAUAAAACAAGUUCAAAGGCAGGUCGCAGGUCGCAGGUCGCAGCAGCGCGAGGUGCGUGCGCGUCGCCGCCAUGAUGGAUGACCGGCGCCGAUUAAUCACUUUUAUUGUGCAACACGAAAAUAAUAAUAUUAAAUAUGUCUCACUGGAGGGGCGAGAGCGAGACUCGCAUUUUCAUGUUUGUGCUUUACCCAAUUAAACAUCAUUAGACCAACAAUAAUUAAUAUAAUAAUAGUUAA